AUCUAUUUUUUAGAGAGGGAUAGCCGGAAGAAAUUCGGAUUAAUACCUUAUAAUAUUGAUAUUUGGCAUCAAAUAUUAAUUAAAGUUUCCGGGGUAAAAGAUGGGUAUGUGUUUUAUUAGUUAGUUGGUAAGGUAAGGGCUUAACAAGAAUACGAUAAAUAGGGGUUCUGAGAGGGAGAUCCCCCACAGUGGUACUGAGACACGGACCAGACUCCUACGGGAGGGAGCAGUGAGGAAUAUUGGACAAUGGGCGAGAGUCUGAUACAGCUAUGCCGUGUGCAGAAGAGGGCCUAUGGGUUGUAAACUGUUUUUAUACAGGAAGAAACCAACUUACGUGUAGGGUGCUGACGGUACUGUAAGAAUAAGCAAGGGAUAACUCCGUGCCAGCAGCCGGGGUAAUACGGAGGGUGCAAGCGUUAUCCGGAAUCAUUGGGUUUAAAGGGUCCGUAGGCGGAUUAUUAAGUCAGAGGUGAAAUCCCACAUCUUAAGUGUGGAACUGCCUUUGAUACUGGUACUCUUGAGUUAUAUGGAAGUAGAUAAAAUGUGUAGUGUAGCGGUGAAAUGCAUAGAUAUUACCCACAAUACCCAUUGCAAGGCACUCUACUAUCUAUAUACUGACGCUAAUGGACCAAAGUGUGGGGAGCGAACCGAUUAUAUACCCCUGGUACUCCACCCCCUAAACCAUGGACACUAGUUGUUGGGAUUUAUCUC
rnacentral:rRNA from 1 species